GAUGAACGCUGGCGGCGUGCCUAAUACAUGCAAGUCGAGCGAACGGACGAGAAGCUUGCUUCUCUGAUGUUAGCGGCGGACGGGUGAGUAACACGUGGAUAACCUACCUAUAAGACUGGGAUAACUUCGGGAAACCGGAGCUAAUACCGGAUGAUAUUUUGAACCGCAUGGUUCAAAAGUGAAAGACGGUCUUGCUGUCACUUAUAGAUGGAUCCGCGCUGCAUUAGCUAGUUGGUAAGGUAACGGCUUACCAAGGCAACGAUGCAUAGCCGACCUGAGAGGGUGAUCGGCCACACUGGAACUGAGACACGGUCCAGACUCCUACGGGAGGCACCAGUAGGGAAUCUUCCGCAAUGGGCGAAAGCCUGACGGAGCAACGCCGCGUGAGUGAUGAAGGUCUUCGGAUCGUAAAACUCUGUUGUUAGGGAAGAACAUAUGUGUAAGUAACUGUGCACAUCUUGACGGUACCUAAUCAGAAAGCCACGGCUAACUACGUG
rnacentral:rRNA from 1 species